rnacentral:rRNA from 1 species
UACGUAGGGGGCAAGCGUUGUUCGGAUUCAUUGGGCGUAAAGGGUGCGUAGGCGGCGCGGUAAGUCGGGUGUGAAAUCUCGGAGCUUAACUCCGAAACUGCAUUCGAUACUGCCGUGCUUGAGGACUGGAGAGGAGACUGGAAUUUACGGUGUAGCGGUGAAAUUCGUAGAUAUUCGCAAGAACACCAGUGGCGAAGGCGGCUCACUGGCCCGAUACUGACGCUGAGGCACGAAAGCGUGGGGAGCAAACAGG